rnacentral:rRNA from 1 species
GAUGAACGCUGGCGGCGUGCCUAAUACAUGCAAGUCGAGCGAACGGACGAGAAGCUUGCUUCUCUGAUGUUAGCGGCGGACGGGUGAGUAACACGUGGAUAACCUACCUAUAAGACUGGGAUAACUUCGGGAAACCGUAGCUAAUACCGGAUAAUAUUUUGAACCGCAUGGUUCAAAAGUGAAAGACGGUCUUGCUGUCACUUAUAGAUGGAUCCGCGCUGCAUUAGCUAGUUGGUAAGGUAACGGCUUACCAAGGCAACGAUGCAUAGCCGACCUGAGAGGGUGAUCGGCCACACUGGAACUGAGACACGGUCCAGACUCCUACGGGAGGCAGCAGUAGGGAAUCUUCCGCAAUGGGCGAAAGACUGACGGAGCAACGCCGCGUGAGUGAUGAAGGUCUUCGGAUCGUAAAACUCUGUUAUUAGGGAAGAACAUAUGUGUAAGUAACUGUGCACAUCUUGACGGUACCUAAUCAGAAAGCCACGGCUAACUACGUG